GAAAUAAUGUCGUAGGAAGGGCCUCUUUGAAGGGCUCUUCAUACUGGAACUGGAGCUCAUCCUGGGACACCCUCCUUCAUGAGCACUACUUUUCUGACGCUCUAACAGAUCAACAUUCCCACUAAUAUCACUGUCAACAAUCCUGUUUCGAAGUCUCUUUCUAGCUUUCAAUUCUAUCUUAGCUUUUGCCUUUUCAUAUAUCUUCAAGGCCUGCUUCUCCCCAAAAGUACACACAGGGCAAGCUGGGUCAUACCUAUUGAUUUCAGAUGUCAUAUUCUCCAAGCACUCAGCAUGGAAAACAUGGCCGCAAACUAGAACAGCAACAGCAAGUUCAUUUAAUAGCUUUGCACAUAUGCCACACGUUUGGAGAUCGAAUGAAGAUGACCCAGAACCUCGGCUAGUGGCCCUUUCACGAUGGAAACCAAAGGAUUCACUAUCAAAUGACCACCU
rnacentral:misc_RNA from 1 species